GGUAAAAUGGCUGAGAGUAGGCGGUAAGCUGUAAACUUAUUAACGAAAUAUUUUUCUUUUACC
rnacentral:tRNA from 1 species